rnacentral:lncRNA from 1 species
GCUGGCUGUAACUAGCACAGUGAGCAGGAGGCUGGCUGUAACUAGCACAGUGAGCAGGGGGCUGGCUGUAACUAGCACAGUGAGCAGGAAGCUGGCUGUAACUAGCACAGUGAGCAGGAGGCUGGCUGUAACUAGCACAGUGAGCAGGAGGCUGCUGUAACUAGCACAGUGAGCAGGGGGCUGGCUGUAACUAGCACAGUGAGCAGGGGGCUGGCUGUAACUAGCACAGUGAGCAGGGGGCUGCUGUAACUAGCACAGUGAGCAGGGGGCUGGCUGUAACUAGCACAGUGAGCAGGAGGCUGGCUGUAACUAGCACAGUGAGCGGGAGGCUGGCUGUAACUAGCACAGUGAGCAGGAGGCUGGCUGUAACUAGCACAGUGAGCAGGAGGCUGCUGUAACUAGCACAGUGAGCAGGAGGCUGGCUGUAACUAGCACAGUGACCAGGGGGCUGGCUGUAACUAGCACAGUGAGCGGGAGGCUGGCUGUAACUAGCACAGUGAGCAGGAGGCUGGCUGUAACUAGCACAGUGAGCAGGAGGCUGCUGUAACUAGCACAGUGAGCAGGAGGCUGGCUGUAACUAGCACAGUGACCAGGGGGCUGGCUGUAACUAGCACAGUGAGCAGGGGGCUGGCUGUAACUAGCACAGUGAGCAGGAGGCUGGCUGUAACUAGCACAGUGAGCAGGAGGCUGCUGUAACUAGCACAGUGAGCAGGAGGCUGGCUGUAACUAGCACAGUGACCAGGGGGCUGGCUGUAACUAGCACAGUGAGCAGGAGGCUGCUGUAACUAGCACAGUGAGCAGGAGGCUGGCUGUAACUAGCACAGUGAGCAGGAGGCUGCUGUAACUAGCACAGUGAGCAGGGGGCUGGCUGUAACUAGCACAGUGAGCAGGAGGCUGGCUGUAACUAGCACAGUGAGCGGGAGGCUGGCUGUAACUAGCACAGUGAGCAGGAGGCUGCUGUAACUAGCACAGUGAGCAGGAGGCUGGCUGUAACUAGCACAGUGAGCAGGAGGCUGCUGUAACUAGCACAGUGAGCAGGGGGCUGGCUGUAACUAGCACAGUGAGCAGGGGGCUGGCUGUAACUAGCACAGUGAGCAGGGGGCUGGCUGUAACUAGCACAGUGAGCGGGAGGCUGCUGUAACUAGCACAGUGAGC